GUCCCGGCUGGCUCGCCGAAACCGGCUCGUGGCAACACGGCCUGGGCCUGGCCGCCGCAGCAGCCAGCGCCCGCGGCCUCUCCUCCGCGGCCCUUCCUCUCCUCCCCGCGGCCUCGCCCGCCUCCCUCCGGCCCGGCCCAGCACCCGCAGGCGAACCGAGCUCGGCGCAGCCGCGUCCUGCUCGCCUCAUGCGAGUAGAAUGAGCGGAUAAUGCCCCUUGCAAACGGGCUGCUUGGUGAGUUAACAAGCAACGAGGUGGUUUCCUUUAUCCUAGUUCCACCUCUUAAAAGACUUCUGAAGCAUGACUCUUACAGGGCCCUAACACCCAUUUAAACAGAAACAUCCAAUAAAACAGAACAAAACAAAACCAAAUCAAAACCGAAAGUUUAACUUCUUAAGUUUCUUAGCAAGCUAAAGGAAGAGUCCUUGCAGACAGCUUUCUGAGAAAGGCUCUUCCUUCCUACACCUCUUAAUGCUGAUUUGCAAUGGAUCUUAAGCUUGUCUGGCAUAAAAAGUAAGCCCAGAAAAAGAAGAUAAAAUAAUCUUCCCUACGACCACCACCAUCAAGAAUGAAGGACAGUUUUUCAGUGUUUACCAGUUACAAGAUACAGAAGAUCCUGGCAGAUGAUUACCCAUGCUUCAAGAGCUGUUAAGCAAAAUCUAAGGAGUUUUAGGUUGCUGCAACAGGCUGACUGUCCACAUAAGAAAAUGAACUAAUUAUGUCAAGACACAGCAGUGUAUAGGAAUGCACAUCCUUCUGCCUAUUGCAAGACUCUCAGUUAUUUCCAGGUGCCACCCAAACUGAUACUCACUGUUGUGCAUUUCUGUUCGGUAUGGUGCACUACAGCCCAAGAGAACAUAGAGCUUAAAAAUAAAAAGAAAAUUCCUAACAAAGUGUAUCAAAAUACGCAAGACAGCUAGACGAGGAAUGACAGAGCAGAGGAAGAGAAAAUUAAGUAUUUUUCAGUAAAAUACAUAUUUUAGAUAGGAGUUUCAAAUGUGGAAAGUUUCUUUUCAUAUUUACUAUAAACACUACUGGAAUACUACAACAGGUCUAUACAUCACAACAAACAAAACUAAAAAU